UACGUAGGUCCCGAGCGUUGUCCGGCUUUAUUGGGCGUAAAGCGAGCGCAGGUGGUUUAUUAAGUCUGGUGUAAAAGGCAGUGGCUCAACCAUUGUAUGCAUUGGAAACUGGUAGACUUGAGUGCAGGAGAGGAGAGUGGAAUUCCAUGUGUAGCGGUGAAAUGCGUAGAUAUAUGGAGGAACACCGGUGGCGAAAGCGGCUCUCUGGCCUGUAACUGACACUGAGGCUCGAAAGCGUGGGGAGCAAACAGG
rnacentral:rRNA from 1 species